UUUUGAGUUAAUUUUUAUGUCCUGAGUCAUAUGUCCGGGCCACAAUGCAGACUGAGUAGGAGAGGAUUUAGAACCAGAACAUAGAGUGCACACAGGUCGCCAUAGACACAGAUGCGCAUCACACUUGGAGAAGUGACUUACCCUAUAACCUUGACUAUUCUCACCUGUAAAACAUGGAGUAUGAUUGUGUGUUAAUACUUUCAAUCUCAAAGGACUGUGACGACUGAGAGAAAGAGAAAUCAAUCCAAGAGCAACAAAAAUAAAUUUCAGACUAGAUUCAAAUCAAAAGUUUUAAAGAAGGAAGACUACCUCCAAAGAACAAGGAAUGCAGUACCAGUGCCCGUUUUUAUGAGUGAAUCUCAAGUGGAAGGUGACAGACAGCAGAACAAACACUAUAAAGCAUAGUGGCUAAGAAGACAAGCUUUGGAAUCCAGCAGGGCAGCAUUCAAAUUCGGCUUCUCUCAUUUAUUAUAGAGAGAUACACAAAUGGAUAAAUACAUAGAUAGAUACCCCACAAGUUUUGGUUCUUCUGUUGUCUGUCAGACACCCAUCAACUGUGUUUCAAAAGGUUGUGCCGUCACAGUCUUCAUUGCUUUGGUGGAUCUGUGUCCACUUGUGACAAGAGCAGUUGUUUAAGAAAGAUGAGCAUUGAGUGUCAGUAUCAGAAGACAAGAGGAGAGCUCUACAGUCUGGAUUGCCGAUGGUCUAAAGUCAAGUUGGUUUCGUGGAUUCCAUAUGAGCUGCAGGUGACUGUAACACAGAUUGAUGAAAGAUUCUGCAGGACGACAAAGGUUAAAGAUGCGGACCCGGAGCUGGAAGCCAGUGCUGACACUGAUGGAGUGCAGCGCAAUGAGAAUGCCCACAUUACUGUCCGCUCCUCUGAUAACCAAUGUAAUAUGAAAACUGACUACAGAAGAAAGGAACAAAUUAAAUCCAUUAAUCAAGCAUAUCUCUGCUAAACAGUUGUUCUAAAGAGAUGAACAAAUGAAAAAUUUACUGUUUGUUUUCAUGCUCACAAGGAUUGGGGAAGAAAAUUAAUUAUAAGUUACUGGACACACUAUUAGUUAAGUUUUUCUUGAGGAAACUAUUUAUUGCUUUGUCAAAGGACAAAUGAACCUCAUUAGGGAGAUUAGUUUCAGCGGGUAGUUUUGCAUUAGGACAAACUAAUAAUACACACUUGGAAAGAUACCCUAAGUAAAAUUACGAAAAUUGAAAAUCCAUUUUUUACUUCUUAAUUUACGAACUGUUCGAAAAUGACUGCUUUAUUACCUAUCAUGAAACCAGAAGGAAAUCGGAUGUAGCUUGACUUUUCACCCAAGUGCCUGAAGGAGAACUAUUUCAGCAGGGGCUCUGUGAGUGUUGCGAUGAUGAACUUAUGUAUUCAGAGGUUAUAACUUGGCCAUGGCAUUUUACUCUUAUGUUGAAGCAUGUCAAGCAGAACGUCACGCCAAAAGCAAUUUUUGAUAAGCUCCUUUGAAAUCCUUUUCUUUUCAAAAUGUUUUAAGUGCCCUGGACAAAUAGCAAGCUGAUGUCUGGUAUUCUGAAUUUCC
ensembl:lncRNA